UACGGAGGGUGCAAGCGUUAUCCGGAUUCACUGGGUUUAAAGGGUGCGUAGGUGGGGCGGUAAGUCAGUGGUGAAAUCUCCGAGCUUAACUUGGAAACUGCCAUUGAUACUAUCACUCUUGAAUAUUGUGGAGGUCAGCGGAAUAUGUCAUGUAGCGGUGAAAUGCUUAGAUAUGACAUAGAGCACCAAUUGCGAAGGCAGCUGGCUACGCAUAUAUUGACACUGAGGCACGAAAGCGUGGGGAUCAAACAGG
rnacentral:rRNA from 1 species